GACAGAGGGUGCAAACGUUGCUCGGAAUUACUGGGCGUAAAGCGCAUGUAGGCGGAUGGGCAAGUCAGUUGUGAAAUCCCUGGGCUCAACCCAGGAACUGCAUCUGAAACUGCUCGUCUCGAGUGAUGGAGAGGGUAGCGGAAUUCUCGGUGUAGAGGUGAAAUUCGUAGAUAUCGAGAGGAACACCGGUGGCGAAGGCGGCUACCUGGACAUCUACUGACGCUGAGAUGCGAAAGCGUGGGGAGCAAACAGG
rnacentral:rRNA from 1 species